CAGUAGCCGCGGGAAUACGGAGGGGGCUAGCGUUGUUCGGAUUUACUGGGCGUAAAGCGCACGUAGGCGGAUCGAUCAGUCAGGGGUGAAAUCCCAGAGCUCAACUCUGGAACUGCCUUUGAUACUGUCAAUCUGGAGUAUGGAAGAGGUGAGUGGAAUUCCGAGUGUAGAGGUGAAAUUCGUAGAUAUUCGGAGGAACACCAGUGGCGAAGGCGGCUCACUGGUCCAUUACUGACGCUGAGGUGCGAAAGCGUGGGGAGCAAACAGGAUUAGAUACCCGCGUAGUCCCUGUCUCUUAUAA
rnacentral:rRNA from 1 species